AUUGAACGCUGGCGGCAGGCCUAACACAUGCAAGUCGAGCGGGGCGGCGGACGGGUGGGUAAUGCCUAGGAAUCUGCCUGGUAGUGGGGGAUAACGUCAGGAAACGGGCGCUAAUCCCACAUACUAUCAGAUGAGGCUAGGUCUGAUUAGCUAGUUGGUGGGGUAAAGGCCUACCAAGGCGACGAUCCGUAACUGGUCUGAGAGGAUGAUCAGUCACACUGGAACUGAGAAACGGUCCAGACUCCUACGGGAGGCAGCAGUGGGGAAUAUUGGACAAUGGGCGAAAGCCUGAUCCAGCCAUGCCGCGUGUGUGAAGAAGGUCUUCGGAUUGUAAAGCACUUUAAGUUGGGAGGCGUUACCAACAGAAUAAGCACCGGCUAACUUCGUGCCAGCAGCCGCGGUAAUUC
rnacentral:rRNA from 1 species